rnacentral:rRNA from 1 species
GCGAAAGGCAGCCUGUUAAGCUGCAAAUGACAUUGAGGCUCGAAAGUGUGGGUAUCAAACAGGAUUAGAUACCCUGGUAGUCCACACGGUAAAACGAUGAAUACUCGCUGUUUGCGAUAUACGGCAAGCGGCCAAGCGAAAGCGUUAAGUAUUCCACCUGGGGAGUACGCCGGCAACGGUGAAACUCAAAGGAAUUGACGGGGGCCCGCACAAGCGGAGGAACAUGUGGUUUAAUUCGAUGAUACGCGAGGAACCUUACCCGGGCUUAAAUUGCACUCGAAUGAUCCGGAAACGGUUCAGCUAGCAAUAGCGAGUGUGAAGGUGCUGCAUGGUUGUCGUCAGCUCGUGCCGUGAGGUGUCGGCUUAAGUGCCAUAACGAGCGCAACCCUUGUUGUCAGUUACUAACAGGUGAUGCUGAGGACUCUGACAAGACUGCCAUCGUAAGAUGUGAGGAAGGUGGGGAUGACGUCAAAUCAGCACGGCCCUUACGUCCGGGGCUACACACGUGUUACAAUGGGGGGUACAGAGGGCCGCUACCACGCGAGUGGAUGCCAAUCCCUAAAACCCCUCUCAGUUCGGACUGGAGUCUGCAACCCGACUCCACGAAGCUGGAUUCGCUAGUAAUCGCGCAUCAGCCACGGCGCGGUGAAUACGUUCCCGGGCCUUGUACACACCGCCCGUCAAGCCAUGGGAGCCGGGGGUACCUGAAGUGCGUAACCGCGAGGAUCGUCCUAGGGUAAAACUGGUGACUGGGG